AUUGAACGCUGGCGGCAUGCUUUACACAUGCAAGUCGAACGGUAACAGGCCGCAAGGUGCUGACGAGUGGCGAACGGGUGAGUAAUGCAUCGGAACGUGCCCAGUCGUGGGGGAUAACUACUCGAAAGAGUAGCUAAUACCGCAUACGAUCUAUGGAUGAAAGCGGGGGACCGUAAGGCCUCGCGCGAUUGGAGCGGCCGAUGUCAGAUUAGGUAGUUGGUGGGGUAAAGGCUCACCAAGCCAACGAUCUGUAGCUGGUCUGAGAGGACGACCAGCCACACUGGGACUGAGACACGGCCAAGACUCCUACGGGAGGCAGAAGUGGGGAAUUUUGGACAAAGGGCGCAAUCCUGAUCCAGCAAGGCCGCGUGCAGGAAGAAGGCCUUCGGGUUGUAAACUGCUUUUGUACGGAACGAAACGGCUCUGGUUAAUACCCGGGGCUAAUGACGGUACCGUAAGAAUAAGCACCGGCUAACUACGUG
rnacentral:rRNA from 1 species